rnacentral:tRNA from 1 species
UUUAUAGUUUAAAAAACAUCUACUUUGGAUGUAGAAAAAUCUAGAUUUUAAUAAAAAU